AGGAAGGUCACACCAUCCCUCACCAUUACAAGGGUGAAGAUCUGAUAGCUAUAAAAGUUGAGGUUAAAGAAGAAGAAGAAGAGGAGACGUAUGUGAUGGAGAUGGAUGAUCGGCAGUCUAUGGAGGAGGGUGGACUAAUGAGGACAUUUACAAAGGCUACAGAGAUCAGCACAGUAGAUGGACGGGAGAUGAGGAAAACCUCAGAGGAUUGUCUCA